UACGGGGGGGGCAAGCGUUGUUCGGAAUUAUUGGGCGUAAAGGGCGCGUAGGCGGCCGGAUAAGUCUGACGUGAAAUCCCUCGGCCUAACCGGGGAACUGCGUUUGAUACUGUCCAGCUCGAGUCCGGGAGAGGGUAGUGGAAUUCCCAGUGUAGCGGUGAAAUGCGUAGAUAUUGGGAGGAACACCGGUGGCGAAGGCGGCUACCUGGACCGGUACUGACGCUGAGGCGCGAAAGCUAGGGUAGCAAACAGG
rnacentral:rRNA from 1 species